AUUGAACGCUGGCGGCAUGCUUUACACAUGCAAGUCGAACGGUAACAGGCCGCAAGGUGCUGUCGAGUGGCGGACGGGUGAAUAGUGCAGCGGAACGUGCGCAGUCAUGGGGGAUAAGUACUCGACAGAGUAGCUAAUACCGCAUACGAUCAAUGGAUGAGAGCGGGGGACCGGAAGGCCUCGCGCGAUUGGAGCGGCCGAUGUCGGAUUAGGUAGUUGGUGGGGUAAAGGCUCACCAAGCCAACGAUCUGUAGCUGGUCUGAGAGGACGACCGGCCACACUGGGACUGAGACACGGCCCAGACUCCUACGGGAGGCAGCAGUGGGGAAUUUUGGACAAUGGGCGCAAGCCUGAUCCAGCAAUGCCGCGUGUAGGAAGAAGGCCUUCGGGUUGUAAACUGCUUUUGUAAGGAACGAAACGGCUCUGGUUAAUACCCGGGGCUAAUGACGGUACCGUAAGAAUAAGCACCGGCUAACUACGUG
rnacentral:rRNA from 1 species